CGGAGCAACGCCGCGUGAGGGAGGAAGGCCUGUGGGUUGUAAACCUCUUUUCUCAGGGAAGAAGUUCUGACGGUACCUGAGGAAUCAGCAUCGGCUAACUCCGUGCCAGCAGCCGCGGUAAGACGGAGGAUGCAAGCGUUAUCCGGAAUUAUUGGGCGUAAAGCGUCCGUAGGCGGUUCAGAAAGUCUGCUGUUAAAGCUCACAGCUCAACUGUGAAUCGGCAGUGGAAACUUCUGGACUAGAGAGUGGUAGGGGUAGAGGGAAUUCCCGGUGUAGCGGUGAAAUGCGUAGAGAUCAGGAAGAACAUCGGUGGCGAAAGCGCUCUACUGGACGGCAACUGACACUCAGGGACGAAAGCUAGGGGAGCGAAUGGGAUUAGAUACCCCAGUAGUC
rnacentral:rRNA from 1 species